UUUCCGUAGGUGAACCUGCGGAAGGAUCAUUAUUGAAUGAACUUGGUGUGGUUGUUGCUGGUCCUUUCGGGGGCAUGUGCACGCCCACCAUCCUCAUCACUCCACCUGUGCACCUCUUGUAGACUUGGAUUGACUUUCCGAGGCAACUCGGUCGGGAGGAUUGCUGGCAUCAGCUGGCUUUCUUUGCAUUUCCGGGUCUACGUUUUUCAUAUACCCCAUUGUAUGUAACAGAAUGUAAUAUUGGGCCCUUGUGCCUAUAAACCUUAUACAACUUUCAGCAACGGAUCUCUUGGCUCUC
rnacentral:misc_RNA from 1 species